AGAGUUUGAUCGUGGCUCAGAAUCAACGCUGGCGGCGUGCCUAACACAUGCAAGUCGAACGCGGUUGCUUCUGCUUCGCAAGAAGCAGUUGUGACUGAGUGGCGAACGGGUGAGUAACGCGUGGGUGACCUACCUUCGAGCGGGGGAUAACGUCCCGAAAGGGACGCUAAUACCGCAUAACAUCCUGCCCUUGAACGGGUGGAGAUCAAAGCUGGGGAUCGCAAGACCCGGCACUUGGAGAGGGGCCCGCGUCUGAUUAGCUAGUUGGUGAGGUAAUGGCCCACCAAGGCGACGAUCAGUAUCCGGCCUGAGAGGGCGGACGGACACACUGGGACUGAGACACGGCCCAGACUCCUACGGGAGGCAGCAGUGGGGAAUUGUUCGCAAUGGGCGCAAGCCUGACGACGCAACGCCGCGUGGAGGAUGAAGGUCUUCGGAUUGUAAACUCCUGUUGCCCGGGACGAAAAGCUUCGACCUAACACGUCGAAGUCUGAC
rnacentral:rRNA from 1 species